rnacentral:rRNA from 1 species
GAUGAACGCUGGCGGCGUGCCUAAUACAUGCAAGUCGAGCGAACAGACGAGGAGCUUGCUCCUCUGACGUUAGCGGCGGACGGGUGAGUAACACGUGGAUAACCUACCUAUAAGACUGGGAUAACUUCGGGAAACCGGAGCUAAUACCGGAUAAUAUAUUGAACCGCAUGGUUCAAUAGUGAAAGACGGUUUUGCUGUCACUUAUAGAUGGAUCCGCGCCGCAUUAGCUAGUUGGUAAGGUAACGGCUUACCAAGGCAACGAUGCGUAGCCGACCUGAGAGGGUGAUCGGCCACACUGGAACUGAGACACGGUCCAGACUCCUACGGGAGGAAGCAGUAGGGAAUCUUCCGCGAUGGACGAAAGCCUGACGGAGCAACGCCGCGUGAGUGAUGAAGGUCUUCGGAUCGUAAAACUCUGUUAUUAGGGAAGAACAAAUGUGUAAGUAACUAUGCACGUCUUGACGGUACCUAAUCAGAAAGCCACGGCUAACUACGUG